rnacentral:rRNA from 1 species
UACGAAGGGGGCUAGCGUUGCUCGGAAUCACUGGGCGUAAAGCGCACGUAGGCGGCUUGGCAAGUCGGAUGUGAAAGCCCUCGGCUCAACCAAGGAAGUGCAUCCGAAACUGCUGAGCUUGAGUACUUAAGAGGAUCGCGGAAUUCCCGGUGUAGAGGUGAAAUUCGUAGAUAUCUGGAGGAAUACCGGUGGCGAAGGCGGCAUCCUGGACCGAGAUUGACACUGAUGAGCGAAAGCUAGGGGAGCAAACGGG